rnacentral:rRNA from 1 species
UGGCGACCGGCGCACGGGUGAGUAACGCGUAUCCAACUUCCCAUGACUCCGGUUCAGCCCGCCGAAAGGCGGAUUACUCCCGGAUGGUUUCCGAAGAGGGCCUCUGAUUUGGAAUAAGAUUCAUCGGUCAUGGAUGGGGAUGCGUCUGAUUAGGCAGCAGGCGGGUAACGGCCCACCUGGCCCACGAUCAGUAGGGGUUCUGAGAGGAAGGUCCCCCACACUGGAACUGAGACACGGUCCAGACUCCUACGGGAGGCAGCAGUGAGGAAUAUUGGUCAAUGGACGAGAGUCUGAACCAGCCAAGUAGCGUGCAGGAUGACGGCCCUAUGGGUUGUAAACUGCUUUUAUAUGAGGAUAAAUGACGUCACGUGUGAUGUUUUGCAGGUAUCAUAUGAAUAAGGACCGGCUAAUUCCGUGCC